rnacentral:rRNA from 1 species
AUUGAACGCUGGCGGCAUGCUUUACACAUGCAAGUCGAACGGUAACAGGCCGCAAGGUGCUGACGAGUGGCGAACGGGUGAGUAAUGCAUCGGAACGUGCCCAGUCGUGGGGGAUAACGUAGCGAAAGCUGUGCUAAUACCGCAUACGAUCUAUGGAUGAAAGCGGGGGACCGUAAGGCCUCGCGCGAUUGGAGCGGCCGAUGUCAGAUUAGGUAGUUGGUGGGGUAAAGGCCUACCAAGCCGACGAUCUGUAGCUGGUCUGAGAGGACGACCAGCCACACGGGGACUGAGACACGGCCCAGACUCCUACGGGAGGCAGCAGUGGGGAAUUUUGGACAAUGGGCGCAAGCCUGAUCCAGCAAUGCCGCGUGCAGGAAGAAGGCCUUCGGGUUGUAAACUGCUUUUGUACGGAACGAAACGGUCUGGGUUAAUACCCCGGGCUAAUGACGGUACCGUAAGAAUAAGCACCGGCUAACUACGUGCCAGCCGCCGCCGUAACAC